CACCUGAAAGAUUAUCCAGGAGAGUCAUGAAGAACAUGUGAAGACACAAACUUCCAAGCUUUCAUAGACUGUAUAUACGUGCAGGACCAAAAUUCUCUAAAAGAUAAAUAUAAUAUGCUGACACAACCACUGAGUGCGGGUUGCAGAUAAGAGCUUGAAGUGAAGUUUCAUUGUCUAAAAGCUGUAAUUUUCAGAUAAAGGAAGUGUUACUUUAACAUAAAAAUCCCAAAUGCUCCUUAGUUAUGCUGUUAAACUGUUUGUGACAUCUGCUUAAAAAACCCCGGUGUACGUGAGUAAUAUAGAACACUUUUGUACAAAAUUCCCUAGAAUCAGCUAGUAAUUGCAUCUGAAAUUUCUCUUCUUCAACAGGGAAGUCCCCACUGUACAAGGUUAGCUACUUAUUACAUAUAUCAAAGUCAAUCAGGUUUCCUGUCUAUCAAUUAUAUGUAAAAUAUGAUAAUACUAAAUGCUUCAAGUCCCUUAAAUGUCCUUUUUUCUUAUAUCUAGUCAACCUCUAUUUCUUACAGGUAACUUUAAGUUUUCUUUGGAAAUGCUCCUGGGAUGUUUUACAAAGUAGAAGUGAGCAUGUAUAGAGUUUAUCAUAAAAGCAUAGAUGAGUGGUCAUGUGAAACACAGCAUUACCGCUACGUAGCAGUAAUAGCAUGAGACAGAAUUACUCUUUUUUGUGAGAAUUGGCUGUAACAUCCUACUCAAUAGGACCUGUUACUGGAGGCAGCACCUCUAAUGUUAUUUCCUUAUGGUAUUAUCAUGAAUUACCUAAUGACUCUGAACCAUCAUGACUUCUGGAACAACAGAACAACAUGAUCUACCUCCACCCUAUGCUGAAAAGCUUCAGCUAAGGUGAUGAUGUGGCAAAGCCACCCAGCCAUUAGCAAAGUACACCCAAAUCCAGGUGUUUCUUUGUGCCCCUCAGCAGCAUUUCUGCCACCUGCCUAUCGUGAAGCAGUUUUUCUAAAUAUCCCUGCUGGAGAGAAACAUUGCCUUGCACUGGGAGGCUAAGGGGAACCCCAGAGCAAAAAAAGAAAAAGUAAGACACCUUGACUCAUUCUUCCCUAACCAACUUUCUGUAGGUCUGUACUACGUGUGCAAAGCCAAAUCCUGAUCUGAGAAGAUCACGUGCUACAGAGUUCUUAAUAUAAAUACUACUUUAAAAUAUCUCUACUUUGUUUUGUGAUUUAGAUGCUUAAACAAGUUACCAGGAGAUACCACCUUCAAAAGCACAGCACCAUCUAGUGAUGCACAGAAGCAUGGUGCAGUAUAAAGAAGGUACUGUCUCUUGUAUACGCAGGGAAGAAUUGUUAUCAGGGAAUUGCUGAGGUUGGAAGGGACCUCUCAAGAUCCUCUCCCCUCCAGAAAAAGCCUCUCAUCAUGAGAUAAGUGAGAUGGCCAAAAAGCAAGUGAUUGACAACUGGUUCCAUCCUAAAUUUUUGGUACUUGAAUUAUUUAGAGCUUGCUAUGGUAUUCUUUUCACUCUACGUGAAAUUAUUUAAAUUAUUACUCCCCAGUUACAACUAUCAUAUUGUAAUUAACAGCUCAAAAGUUAAUAAGACUUUAAAGAAGCAUAGCA